AGCAGCCGCGGUAAUUCCAGCUCCAAUAGCGUAUAUUAAAGUUGUUGCAGUUAAAAAGCUCGUAGUUGAAUUUCGGGAUCAAUUAAUUGGUCGUGCCUCUGGUACGUACUGAUUUUAUUGGUUUCUCCCUUCUGACGAAUCAUGAUGUCAUUAAUUUGGUGUCGUGGAGAAUCAGGACUGUUACUUUGAAAAAAUUAGAGUGUUUAAAGCAAGCUAACGCUUGAAUACAUUAGCAUGGAAUAAUGAAAUAGGACGUUUGACCCUAUUUUGUUGGUUUCUAGGAUCGACGUAAUGAUUAAUAGGGAUAGUUGGGGGCAUUAGUAUUCAAUUGUCAGAGGUGAAAUUCUUGGAUUUAUUGAAGACUAACUACUGCGAAAGCAUUUGCCAAGGA
rnacentral:rRNA from 1 species